GUUGUUCUAAAGCAUACUGUGCUCAUUGCUCAUAUUGUGCCCCUCACCACUCGGAGAUCGUUGUCUUUGCUGUUUUCCAGAAACUGUGGAAAGAGGAAAUAUCUUGAAGACACACCUAGUUCUCUGCAUGUACUUUGGACUGUAGUCUGUUUUAUCAAUCCAACCCUGAUCAUAACUCCAUUGUGAGGACUGAAAA